GACGAACGCUGGCGGCGUGCUUAACACAUGCAAGUCGAACGGUGACGCUGGAGCUUGCUCCAGCUGAUCAGUGGCGAACGGGUGAGUAACACGUGAGCAACCUGCCCUUGACUCUGGGAUAACCCCGGGAAACCGGAGCUAAUACCGGAUACGAACCGCACGGGCAUCUGCGCGGUUGGAAAGAUUUAUCGGUCAAGGAUGGGCUCGCGGCCUAUCAGCUUGUUGGUGGGGUAACGGCCCACCAAGGCGACGACGGGUAGCCGGCCUGAGAGGGCGACCGGCCACACUGGGACUGAGACACGGCCCAGACGCCUACGGGAGGCAGCAGUGGGGAAUAUUGCACAAUGGGCGAAAGCCUGAGGCAGCGACGCCGCGGGAGGGACGAAGGCCUUCGGGUUGUAAACCUCUUUCAGCAGGGAAGAAGCGAAAGUGACGGUACCUGCAGAAGAAGCACCGGCUAACUACGUGCCAGCAGCCGCGGUAA
rnacentral:rRNA from 1 species